rnacentral:lncRNA from 1 species
AGAACUCGGAACCCUGGAGUCACUGGGCACCACAGUCCAGCGACGGCUGCCUAACAGUCACUUGGCUGGAGAGAGUCAGCUGCGAUCAUGCUGUGCCGCUUUCCCAGGCCUCGAGGCCGCAGCAACAGGACCCUGUGCAGGGAAAGGACUUGGGCGUGAGUGAGAGGAUGGGUGGCUAAGUCCUCAUGCUUCAGGCCACUCACCAGGAACUGCCUGGCCAUCAGGGGCAGCACAGGGCGGGUCUCACCAGACCCAGAGACCUGGGGACCUGAGAUGAGCGGGAGCCCAGGGCAGAUCUCCCUGGACCUGGACCCCAGACACUUGGGGCCACCGAGUCCAGGACAGGUCCAGUCAGGCCCGGCCACCGCUAGUGGUCUGGGCUUCAGCCUCCAGCCCUCCUGAUGGCCUGGGUGGGCCCCAGUUCCAUGUCUCCCCUCUGUUCCAUCACAGACUGGGGCCCAACGGGAGGAGAGCCGGCAGAGGACUGCAUGGUAAGGAUGGUGCUGGCAGGCAUGCAGCACCCCCUGAGGGAGCCCCCAGAAUGGGAUGUCCUGGACAGCUGCCCCAUCCAUGCAGACUCCCUCCUGGACCCCUCUGGGGCCUGCAUUCCCACCCUGCAGGAGGGGAUGGUGCCAAGGUGAGCUCUGUGGUUGGCACCCAGGGGCCCUUGGCCACUGUGGCCCCAAGUCUUUGGAAGGUAUGAACCCUGCCUCAGCCUGCUCGCAACUCUGAGCAACAGGGCGCUGAGAAAAUCGGGCUCUCCGCAUCACUGCGGGGCAGAGCUGUGGUCUCCAGGGCAGUGCUGACCCGAGCCUGCCGGAUUCCCUUCCAUCCCUGGCCGGCUGUGCUUUGCCCCACUGAGCCCUGCACAGGGGAAGGCUGUCCGUUGCCUGUAAAGGAGACCACAGAGUGACUCGGCAGGCCUCUGGUCUUCCCAGAGCAGGAGUCUGUGGGGAUGUGAAUGGUCCAGGCCCACUGACCUCAGGGAAGAGCAGGUGGGGUCCCCAUUCCAUGGAUGUAUGUGAAGACACACUGUGUGCAGACCUUUCCCAGGGCUCGGCUGUGAUUGCCAGUAGCCAGAGCAGAUGCAACCCCUGCCCUCUGGGGCUUCAGCGCUGUUUGAGGUCCUCAGUCACCCUGGACAGCUGAGCAAGCAUUCCUCGCACUGCAGUAGAUGGCACUUUCCCGGCCUCCCUAGAUGUGGAUCCACAGCAGUGCAAGAGGAGCCCAGGAGCGGCAUAGACUCCGGGCAGCACAGCGCUGCAGAGCUGAAGCCUGAGGAGAGUCCUCCUUUUUUGUCCUCCACUUCUUGGUGCAGCUACACUCCCAGGAGAAUCCACCAGCUGAACUCCUGGCCCAGCUGGAGCAAGCAGAGCCCACUGAGGCACAGCCCAUGGGCGAGGAGGACGGGGUGUAGGCCUGUGGGACCAGCUCCACCCCCAGCUGAAGUCCCAUGUGCGGAGCCCGAGCCAGCUCCACCUGCAGCUUCCUGCCCAGGGCUGGGACCACAGCCAGAGUCCAUGGCAGCCGCUUCACCUGCUGCAGUGCUGGGGCACCCGGUGGUUGCACGGCUGUCGGUGUCACCUCCUGAGCUCCGCCUGGGGCCAGCUCCUGGCCCCCUCCCACUGUUCCCCUCACUUAUGCUGGCUCUUGUUUUGGUAUUUACAAUUGCCCUUAUUUCUUGGAUUUAUGUAAAUAAUAGAACUAGCUUUUAAUAAAACUUAAAAUUUUAGUGUUUAA